UAGAAAAAUUUAUAUUUUACUCUUACUUAUUUACUUUCUUAGACAUUUUGUGGGUUUUCAUAUAUUUUUGUUUUUCCUUUUGAUUUAACUUGUGUUUCUCUCUCAGUAUGUAUGUUUGUCACCUGAAAUGCAACAAAGACAUCACACAGUAAAACAAAGAGCCUUUGAAGUCUUUAGUGUGGGCAAUUUACUCAGGAAAGAUCAGAGGGGUUAUCCAUAAAUAAAGACCUUUGACCUCACGGGUGUGAAGAUAAUAAAAGCCCAGGGGGUUAGGAGGACCAUUGUGUUUUCUGAAAACAGCUAGUUUGUGUUUACGGGGUUAAGUGGAAAUUUACAGAGAAGGAGCCUUGUAAGAAGUGGGGGUGAUAACAGUAUAAUAAGGCUGUCUGUUUUCAGUGUGAUUCAGGUCUGUUGUGUUUCAGGGUAGCUGCUGAAACAGUGAACGCACCUCUUUAAGGAAAAUAAACUUCUUUCCUUAAAUAUAAUUUGAUUCCUUGUCUCUUACACUGAGAUGCUAUUUGUUUGUAAUUGUUUUUGCCACAACAAUUUGGUGUCAGAAUAGUGGGAUCUCACGGUGGUUUCUUCUGGUCCUGAGCGGAUUUGACGAAGUGAUCAUCUCAGAGCACCAGGCUCUGGUCUUACCUCGAAAAUUGAGAGAGAAGAGCCAAAACUGCUUUCAGGGCCAGAAGUGACUCAGAUGAGAUCAGAAAGAACCCGGUGGCAGUAAAAGCAUCUCAGGUAAGAGACUGUAAAUUGUUUAUUUUGAGUGGUGUAAUUCGACAUGACUGUGUGUGAACCAUAGUGGCUGACCAUCGCUUUGGUGCAAGCAAAGAAGGUUUUCAAGAGGCAAAUUGUAACAUGGGGCAGAGGUUUUCAAGAGGCAAAUUUUAUGCCGAAAACUAGAAGCUUUAAUUCAAUUUUAAUGCCGAAAACUAGCUUGUAGGUGGACGGAAGAGCCACAGCGAGCAGAGAACGUUUUCAAGAGGCAAAUUGUAACAAUGGUGCAGAGGUUUUCAAGAGGCAAAUUGUCAACUUUAUGCCGAAAACUAGAAGCUUUAAUUCAAUUUUAUGCCGAAAACUAGCUUGUACCAUAGUGGCUGACCAUCGCUUUGGUGCGAGCAGAGAAGGUUUUCAAGAGGCAAAAUUGUAACACGGGCAGAGAAGGUUUUCAAGAGGCAAAUUGUAAAUUUUAUGCCGAAAACUAGAAGCUUUAAUCAAUUUUAAUGCCGAAAACUUGCUUGUAGGUGGACGGAAGAGCCACAGCUGAUUAGGUGAACUAGAAUCAUUCAAUCGAGUGAAGAUUUUGAGUAAGCUUAAUUUACAGAGCAUUUUUGCUAACCUUGCCGAUUUGAGGUGACAAAAUCGGAUCUGUUGAAGACGUUUAACAGAUUAUAGACGUGCGUCGAAGGAAAUCCAGAAGAGAUUGAAGUCAGCCAACAUGGGAUCACCAAACAACUCAUGGUGACAGACUGCGACCUGUGGCCUAUUUUUCAACUAAACUUGAAGCUGUAUCUGCAGGACUUCCACGCUGCCUGAGAGCAGUGGCAGCGGCCGAGCUGGCUGUGAUGGCCUCAAGAGAAUUUAAGCUACUCUGAUUUGACUUUAAUGGUUCCACACGCAGUAUCCAUGAUUUUGCAAGAGCAGAGAACGUCACAUUUGUCUACAGCCCGAUGGCUGAGGUAUCAUACGAUUUUGUUGGACAUGCCAAACAUAACUGUAAAACGAUGCACAACUUUGAAUCCUGCCACCCUUCUGCCCACACAGGAGGAUGGUGAGGAACAUCACUGUUGUCUGUCAGCACUCGAACAGGUGUGCACACCAUGUCCAGACCUUUAAGACAUACCGCUUGAAAAUUGUGACAAUGUCCUCUUUGUGGAUGGGUCUGCCUCGAAAGAUCCACAAACAGGGCAGAAUAAAGUGGGUUAUGCUGUAACGACUGAAUUUGAAACUCUGAAAUCUGACAAAUUACCAUCACACUAUUCUGCGCAGGCAGCAGAACUGGUUGCAUUGAUCGAAGUGUGUAAACUGACAGCAGAUAAAUGCGUGACGAUAUACACAGACUAGCGAUACACUUUUGGGGUCACGCAUGACUUUAGUGCUAUGUGGAAGCACAGAAAAUUAUUGAAAUUGGAAGGGAGGCCGAUACUAAACGCGUCUCUGGUAUCGGACCUGCCCGAGGCUAUUCUAUUGCCAGACAAAAUUGCGAUUUUUAAGUGCGCAGCGCAUACUAAUGAUAAAAGUUUCACCUCAACAGGAAAUGCUAGAGCUUAUAUGGCUGAGGAUCAGAAUGAAGAUAAUAGUAAAAGAGCCACUUGCGCACAAGUUGACAUUAAUCUUUACAUUUCUCCUUGUUUACAGAGCAUGCAGUCUUUUUCCACAGGAGCUGAGAAAAAACAACUGGAAGGCAUCAGGCUGUUUAUAGCAUGUGGAGAUCCGUUGUUGGAACGCCCUGUUUUUCCAAACAUUUUUUUAUUUUUUAUUUUUUUUAAACAUUAUGCUAAGUUGACACAUGGGUUAGACCAUGUAUCAAAAGGGGGAAUGAUUGCACAGAUGAAAGAAUUGUGGUUUACCAAGGGCUUUCUCAAUAUUCGCUGAUACUUAAAAAAAAAAAAAGUCAAAACAAAUUUGAGGACAUUCUAAAUUCUCUUUGGUAGACCACCAUUCAUGGGAAUAGAAGGGGGAAAAAAAACCCAGGGUUCCAUCAACGGAUGUGUCUGAAAACGAAAUGUUGAAUUACUGCAAAGAAAUGUCUUGUCUGUUAUCCAACAGUUGUGUGAAGGUGAAAGCUGCCCAGAGGAGGUUGCUGAGAUGUUUCUGCAUAAGAUCAGGCCGGGGGAUUACGUGGUAAUUCGUGACCUGAGGAGGAAGAACUGGAGGGCGAAACGGUGGCGAGGGCCAUUCCUAGCAUUGCUGAGAACACACACGGCGGUGAAGGUCGGGGAGAGAGCUUCGUGUGUGCACGCCAGUCACUGCAGGAGAGUUCGCCCAUAUCGGAAGGCCAACAGGAGGAGGAGCCUCAGCAACAACAAGUUCAACAAUAAGUCUCAAGAUUGAGCCCAAACACCAAGUGCAAGAGCAAGGUCACUCAAGAGGAGUGAUAAGGCCGGUGAGCAGAGUAAAGCCAUCUGUACAGCCACAACCAGAGACAUUGCAAAGAGCUGCAAUCAUUAGACAAGAUGGAUCGCUCAAGACCGUGGUACCCAUUCAGACUGCCAGGAAUGUGUGGACUUUGUAAGACUACAUUCAAUUUGACUUUGCAACAUAAUUGAACCCAUGAGAGAGGCCGUAAGAGAACCUGAGCGGACUGACAACCUGUGGGCCGGGUGGGUUUAUGUCUUUGUGGGGAGGAUGGAUGUACUGGAUAAUUCAAACUGUUCUACCAAUUGUAGUGAUAGGAAUUCUGAUCAUGUUUUGCUUGCAAUGAAUUAUGAGAUGUAUUUCCAGCUCAGUACAGUGAUUGGUCAGGGCUGGGUCGCCCAUACAAGCAGUAAAACUGAACGCUUUUCUGAUAGAUAGUGAACACUAUUGUGAUGAUUAUGAGAGUGACGAGAGUGAUGACAUUUACACAGAAAUGUGAAGAUUGAUCAGGUAUACGAAAGUCAUAUGAGGAGUAUAACUGUGAUGAAAUGACUUGAAACAAUUAUAAUAAUUUACGUUUUCAAUAUUAUAAUCAUGUAUGAGUUUGCAUAGAAUUAAAAACAAGCGAGUUUUUAAGUUAUUAUAAUCAAAACUAAUGUUAAAUAAUCCAAAUCGUUUAUCAGAGAAUGAUAAAGAGGAGGAAUUGUUGUAGAAAAAUUUAUAUUUUACUCUUACUUAUUUACUUUCUUAGACAUUUUGUGGGUUUUCAUAUAUUUUUGUUUUUCCUUUUGAUUUAACUUGUGUUUCUCUCUCAGUAUGUAUGUUUGUCACCUGAAAUGCAACAAAGACAUCACACAGUAAAACAAAGAGCCUUUGAAGUCUUUAGUGUGGGCAAUUUACUCAGGAAAGAUCAGAGGGGUUAUCCAUAAAUAAAGACCUUUGACCUCACGGGUGUGAAGAUAAUAAAAGCCCAGGGGGUUAGGAGGACCAUUGUGUUUUCUGAAAACAGCUAGUUUGUGUUUACGGGGUUAAGUGGAAAUUUACAGAGAAGGAGCCUUGUAAGAAGUGGGGGUGAUAACAGUAUAAUAAGGCUGUCUGUUUUCAGUGUGAUUCAGGUCUGUUGUGUUUCAGGGUAGCUGCUGAAACAGUGAACGCACCUCUUUAAGGAAAAUAAACUUCUUUCCUUAAAUAUAA